GGUGAAGAACGUAGCGAAGUGCGAUAAGCAAUGCGAAUUGCAGAACCGUGAGUCAUCAGAUUUUUGAACGCAACUGGCGCUAGAUGGCUAUCCAUCUAGCAUGCUUGUUUCAGUGUCUUUUUAUUUCCUAACUGAAAUCAUAAUGCGAGAGAUACCCUUCUCUUGUUAAGCAUGAAAGCACUCUGCGCUCUGCGAGCGACUUCGAUUCGUCGAGGGUCGCACUCAAUGCAGCAGUCACAUUGUUUACAGUGUCAACUCAUUGAGAGUAGAGGCAGUGCGGUGUAACAACUGCCAGUGCUUAGACACUCAAACUUUUCUUGUAUCUGAAAUCAAGCAGGAUCACCCGCUGAACUUAAGCAUAUCAAUAAGCGGAGGA
rnacentral:misc_RNA from 1 species